UGGGGAAUAUUGCGCAAUGGGGGGAACCCUGACGCAGCCAUGCCGCGUGAAUGAAGAAGGCCUUAGGGUUGUAAAGUUCUUUCGGUAUUGAGGAAGGUUGAUGUGUUAAUAGCACAUCAAAUUGACGUUAAAUACAGAAGAAGCACCGGCUAACUCCGUGCCAGCAGCCGCGGUAAUACGGAGGGUGCGAGCGUUAAUCGGAAUAACUGGGCGUAAAGGGCACGCAGGCGGUUAUUUAAGUGAGGUGUGAAAGCCCCGGGCUUAACCUGGGAAUUGCAUUUCAGACUGGGUAACUAGAGUACUUUAGGGAGGGGUAGAAUUCCACGUGUAGCGGUGAAAUGCGUGGAGAUGUGGAGGAAUACCGAAGGCAAAGGCAGCCCCUUGGGAAUGUACUGACGCUCAUGUGCGAAAGCGUGGGGAGCAAACAGGAUUAGAUACCCUGGUAGUCCACGCUGUAAACGCUGUCGAUUUGGGGGUUGGGGUUUAACUCUGGCGCCCGUAGCUAACGUGAUAAAUCGACCGCCUGGGGAGUACGGCCGCAAGGUUA
rnacentral:rRNA from 1 species